AAGGUAUUGCGUGCAUCCAAUGUGCAGGGCUAAAUUUUUUCAAGCUGCACAGUACUACUAGCUGUUCAUAAGUUAUGAAGACAUGAUCUAGAAAUUAUAACAACUGAUAUGUUCCAUACAAGUGAAUGUUCCAUACAAGUGAUGAUAAGUUACGACGGCAAGUUUUAUGAAGUUAUAACAUUUUAUGAGAUAUUAUUUUUAUUUUUUAUUAGCAAAAAAUACCCGUUUUGCAUUGUACCGGCAGAAAAAAGACAGGGAUGUUAUAUAGUAUCUAUUUGUCUUGCAUAUGUAUAAAUGCCAAAGCUAUCUAUAUUUUUUUUGUGAUGGCUAUGACAUUUGUAACUUAAGUUAAGGGGCUUAUAAAAAUAUGUAAUCCUAAUCCCAAUUAAAAUAGGCAA
rnacentral:lncRNA from 1 species